rnacentral:rRNA from 1 species
AGGAUGAACGCUGGCGGCGUGCCUAACACAUGCAAGUCGAACGUCCUGUCUCGCAAGAGGCAGGGAGUGGCGGACGGGUGAGUACCACGUGGGUCAUCUACCGUGAGGUGAGGAAUACCGGCGAGAAAUCGCCGACAAGACCGCAUAGGCUCGAUGCAAGUCGAGCAAAGCUCUUUCGAGAGAGGGAGCGCCACACGAGGAGCCUGCGCCCGAUUAGCUAGCUGGUGGAGUAACGGUUCACCAGGGCGACGAUCGGUAGCUGGUCUGAGAGGACGAUCAGCCACACUGGGAUUGAGAACGGCCCAGACUCCUACGGGGGCAGCAGUGAGGAAUUUUCGUCAAUGGGGGCAACCCUGAACGAGCAACGCCGCGUGCAGGAGAAGGUUUCGGAUCGUAAACUGCUUUUCUCGGGGAAGAGAACGGACGGUACCCGAGGAAUCGAGCCCCGGCUAACUACGUGCCAGCAGCCGC